GCACAGGCAGUACAGCUGUGGGAUUCAUCCCCCUUAAGGAAGCGGUCGUGAGUUCGAGUCUCACCCUGGCA
rnacentral:tRNA from 1 species